CAAAGAAGGGUUGUACCCCAUCACAGCUAGCAUUGGCCUGGGUGCAUCAUCAGGGAAACGAUGUUUGUCCCAUUCCUGGCACCACCAAGAUUGAAAACCUCAAUCAGAAUAUAGGAGCUUUGUCUGUAAAACUGUCUGCGGAAGAUAUGGAUGAACUGGAAUCCAUUGCUUCAGCUGGAAUAAAGGGUGAUAGACUUCCCCCUGGCUUUGAUAGUUGGAAAACCUCUGAUACUCCACCUCUGUCAACGUGGAAGGCCACAUGAAUACUGCCUUUGUUAUGCUAACAAUUCAUGUAGCUAUCUAUCUGAAUAAUGCAUUUUCACUGUUGUUGAGGGCUGAGUGAAUUGUAACUGUUCCAAUAAACUGCAACCUAAUUCAUAGUAUUGUGUUGAGGGUUGAUUCAUUUUACAGCUAUCUUAUACGAAGUUAAAAACUUGAGGUUGUAAUGGAUAAAAAUCUGGUCAAGCAAACAAAUUGCUUGCUGGUCUUGUUGCAGGACAAGCCAACAGUACCCUUGCUGCUGUUUGAAUAAGAUGUUUAUCUGGUGUAUUUCUGAACAUCUAAAGGGUCCUGUUAUUUAGAUUAUAUAACGGCAGAAAUGAUGCCUCAUACCUCUUUGAAACCUAUAAAUUGCUGAAAGGGAUUCAGUUUGUUAAGUAGUGAAGAGAUGCUGUAUUUUUAAAUGUUGUCUGUUGUCUUCCCUUUAGAAUUUUAAAAGACAAAAAGUGUCACCAAUAAAAAUACAUACUUGAGCUGUAAAUACUAUAGGUUGCUUCUUUAGAAUUUUUUUUUUUAAAAAAAAUCAUGUUCAUAUAUUUUUUUUAAAUUGCCUUCCAGAUUGGAGAAAGUUUUUAAUUAAUGGCCAAAUAAUUAAAUCCAUAAAGCACGUUAGAAAAAAGGUACAUGAAGCUAUAAAGCAUUAAUAUACAUUUGUCAAAACUCAUUUAAUAAUUUAACCUGCAGUAUCUCGAGAAGAGAAGCACACCUCGUCAAGUAAUUGUCAUUUUAAUGCAUCAAAAUUAAGUUCUUUAGGUGAAUAAUCAGAAAAACCCAUGCAGAAAAAUGCUCUAAAUUACUUUUAUUACCAUUAAGCCAGUAUCCAAAUGGUUGGACGCGUCUCAUUCGGAUUGCGUCUCAUUUGGACGCGCCUCAUUUGGUCAGAAUGUUCCUCAACAUCAAUCCAAGUGUUCAGACAGUUUUUGAAUUUUUAAACACCAUUUAGAUGGCAAUUAAUUGUCAAAAACAUGUAAAGGUGCCAAAUAAAUUUGAACAAUUUCUGAACAGUGCAAGACAAUGAUAAGUCUUAUGGUGGAUCCUAAGACGGGCUCCCGUCUUGCAAUUGAUCAAAUUUUGAAAAUAUUUAACGUUGUAUUUGCUAAUAAAUAGUUAUAAACAAACAUGUCUAGAAGCAGAUUUGCAGAAAAUAAGAUCAACUGCCAAAUUUAUUACUCUCUUUCGUUUUCCAUUAUCACUUUUCUCAUUUGGCCACUUUUUUCCAAUGUUAUAUUAUUAGUUAAAUUUUAAGCGAAAAGUUCUUUACGGAAUUUUUUUCAUUUUAUUUUUUUCCUCCUUUUCUUUAUCAUAUUUAGACUUCUUUUUCCUCCCCCUCUAUUCGUAUUAUGACAUACAAAUUUUUAUAAUAAUGUGCUAAAAAAUUUUCUAUUAUAGUUCAAUACAAAUUGUUAGUUUUUAACUAAAAGAAUUUAAUCAUAAUCAUUAUUAUAAGAAAUUAAAAAGCAUGAGAAAAAAGAAAUUAAAAAACAUAUAUUUUUAUAUAAGAAACUUAAGUAUUUCACAUUUGUAUUAACAAUUUCUUAGUAUGUAUUAAUUGUUAGCUAAAUAUCAUGAUGCAUUAUCUUUUAAAAUAUAGAAGUUACACAACAGACUUUUACAAAAUAUAUACUUUAUAAUUUAAAAUAACUUAUGAUACUUAAAUAUUUGACAUAACAAAAAUACUUACUUAAGCCUUAAAUGAAAUUGCAAUUACCCCUUAUUGGCAGUUUCUUUUAAGGCUUAAAUAUGUAUUUUCAUUAUGUAAAAUAUUAUAUCGUCAUAAACUAUUGCAAAAAUUAAAAUGUAGAUAUUUUGCAAAAUUAUGUUUCAUAAUUCUAUAUAUUACUCAUUAAUAACUAAUGCAUCAUGACAUUUAGCUAAAAACUAAUACAUAAUAGAAACUGCAAGUAUAUGCAAAAUACUUAAAUUUUUUUAUAUAAAGCAUAUGCUUUUUAAUUUCUUAUAUAAUGAUUAAAUACUUUUAGUAUAUGUAUUUAACCAUAAAAGAAAAUUCUUUAGCACAAUAUUGUUAAAGUUUAUAUGCAGUAGUAGGAGUAGAGGAAGAAGAAAAAGAAAUCUAAACGUAAUAAAGAAAAGGAAGAAAAGAAGAAAGAGAAAAUUAAAAAAUAUAUAUAAUGAAAUACAAUAAGGGAUUGUCUUUAUUUGCCCCAUAAAUUUGACCUUUAAUCAUCAGGGGUAUUGUGUAUGUUUCAUGAUUACACAGAUAAUUUGCUACUAAAUUAUAAUUACAGAGGAACAACUUGUACUUAAGCCAAAAAGGGAAAAAAAAAAGGCACGAUAAGUAGUCACUUGGAGGCCUCCCUGGGUUCGAAUCCUCAACUUUAGUUACGUUGAAGAUUAUGUGGCAGGACUCCAAAUUCACUGAAAUGUUCACCACAAUACUUUGCGAUGCAGAAAACGAAAGCAAAAAAGACAAAAUCGAAAAAAAAAGAGGAAAUGUAGGAAGUUAAAUCAAGCCAUUAUGUUUUAGUAUUAAUAAUUAAGUGGUGGUCUACAUACCACAUUGUCAUUGGUUAUUCGAUACAAGUGUUAUUAUGUCUGUUGAUUGCAUGGAAAAGGUAAUUAGAGCCAUGAUUGAGUUUAAGUUCGAGUGCUGUGUAUGUGAGAAGAAAAUUUUCCUUUGCCUCUUUAAUCGAUUUGUUGAGAAUUUUUCUGUAGAUUUAUGCCAUGAUUGUUUAUCGAUUUCAGUUCAUCAGAAAUUGCUUACCUUUGCACUCACAUCAUCCAAGUCCCAAUCAAAUGUUCCAAAGGAGACAGAUGCCAGCUACUAUUCCACUUUGUAUUAUUUCUUUGUCUCGAUACUAAAUUAUCCUACGGGACUUUAUCUUGUCCUAGUUAUUGUUUGAGAGAAUAAAAUUUAUACACAAUAUCUUCACUUUCUAUUUCCUAUGACAAUUAAAACGUAGAAUUUUUCAACCUUCACAUUUGAGAAUGAAGGUUGGGUUAAUAAAUAGCAGAGCUUAGGAUCUGAAAUAUUUCUUAUUUAGUGUGUUGUGGACACUCUUCUUCUGCUCCUCAAGUACUGUUUCCUCUGUGUCUGGUUUUUGUCUGAAAAUGGCAUCGUCAGUAGUAGAAGAAGUGAAAGUGCCAAGAAUCAAGCUGGGCUCGCACGGUUUUGAAGUUUCAGCUCAGGGAUUGGGUUGCCUGGGGAUGUCAGCCUUCUACGGGCCGCCAAAGCCCGAGCCCGACAUGAUCAAAGUUAUUCACUAUGCUAUCAGCAGAGGCAUCACUCAUCUUGACACCUCCGAUUUUUAUGGACCCCAUACCAAUGAAUUACUUCUCGGGAAGGUACUAAUCCCACCAUCUUUUGUUGGUUGUACAUUAUGGUUUUCAGCUUGUACCUUGAUCAUCAUUCUCUCUUCAAUGAUUUGAACUUUAAAAUGAUGGCAAUAGAUUAUACAGUGGUAAAACAGGAAACGGUGCUCCCCAGUUGAAUUCUAGUUGUUGUGGUUUUUAUUACAUUUGGUACAAACUUGCAGUGAAUUUUACUCCUACUUAGUUGUACAAGUUAACAAAUUUCAUGAUUACAUCAAAAUUCUACGAAAUGUUAUAAGAAUUACAUAAAUUGGAUAGAUGUGAAUAAAAUUCAAUCGGAGAGGCUCUAAAUCCAAUAGAAUAAUUCCUGUCGAUCUUCAGUUAAUUUAUAAAGGAAUUGACAUUAGGCACUCUAUUAUAUAAUUACAUCUUCCUUGACAUUUAUUAGCAUUCUAUAUUUUUCAAUGGCACCACUUGACUUUUAGGGUUUGUGGAAAGACAACAAUAUGCCUACAUGUUAUGUAUCCUCUAAAGAGUUCGAGAGAAGAAUUUUUGGAUGUAAUUACUAUGGAGCUUAAAAUGCUAAGAGUAGAAAAAAUUCAAGAGAAAAAUAGUAUCCUAAGGUAAGAUUAGGAGAGGUUAUGAUUCCGUAAACCGGCUAUACAUUCAGUCCGGUUCAAUAGUUAACUCAAAAAUUGAAUUGACCUGUUAUAUCUGGUCAAGAACCAGUUGGAUUAGUAAAAAUUGGGAGGUUCAAUUGGAUUUCACUGAUUUUUUUUAUUUAUUUAAAACCAAUAUUUUAGUUUUAUUCAGAUUUUUAAUAUUAAAAUAAAUAAAUAAUGAUUGAACCUUUAAACUAAGGUUGAACCGGUCGGAUUAAUUGAAACGCAAACUGAAAGCUCUUUCGACUCGCUCUCCAAUACAGAUUUAAAAGCAUUGUAAAUAGGUUGAUAAGUAUAUGAUUGUUUUGUGUUCAGAAACCCAGAAUAAAAAAAAUUUCCAAUUUUCCUGAGUCUCAUAGAAUAUAGUAUUGAUUACAUUUUUGUACCCAGAAAGAGUAGGAAAAUUUUGCUAAAGUGGUUAAAGUUCGCUGCUAGUAAUAAUAUAGUCAAAGUUGACAUUUUUAAGAGAGCAUAUAUUUCUGCUGUUUCAUAAUGGAGGAGGGUGAUACGAAAAUUAAUCCCAACAGUUUCUGUUAAGGAGUUAUUACAAGAUUAACAUGUUUUAAUUUGUGUCCCGGAUGAUUAAUGUUGUGAAAGAAUGAGUAUAGGCUUUGAAGGAAGGAAUACGACAGAAAGUGGAGCUAGCAACAAAGUUUGGAAUUAGACCUGUGGAUGGAAAGCUGGAGAUUUGUGGUGAUCCAGCAUAUGUAAGGGCUGCUUGUGAGGGUAGCUUGAAAAGACUUGGAGUUGACAGCAUUGAUCUCUACUAUCAGCAUCGCAUCGAUACAAGUCUGCCCAUCGAAGUCACGGUUCGCUCUGCUAUCCUUCUGUGUUUUUAUCUUUCUUUUAUGCUUGAUGAAGUGUAACUAGUUCAUCAAUGUUAUGAAUGAGUUAAGCAGCACAAAGUUGUGGAAUAAGGAGUUUUUUACAUCUUUGGAUGUGUUGCACUAAAUACGGUAAAAAUUUGAUAGAACAUUGUUGCCUAAUGAUGCAUGGCAACAGAUUAAAAUGCAAAUAUCUACUUGUUGAAUUGGUUUACACAAAUCACUCUGUCUUUUCUCUAGGAACAUGCUUUGAUAUAUGAGUGAAGCCAAUUCAAAUAUGACAAAAUGCUUGUUCUAAUAUGUUCUGCAGUGCUACGGCAAGCCAGAAGACACCAAUUACUUCACAAUCCUAUUUGAACUCAGGCUCAUUCAUUUGAGAUCCCUAAAAUUUGUCCAUUUACCAUGAAUUGAAGCUUUGGGCUUUUAAAUCUCCUUUCUGAUUCCAAUAGAAUCUUGCAUGCUUGUGAACUGUGGUGUCGCUUUAAUUACAAAUACAUAUGCAGAGCAACUAUCUUAAACUCACUGCAGAUGGGACUACUGUCAAAUAGCACCAAGUGCGAUCAUUCUAGUUCUGUGCAACAUAUGUUGCAAGUGGCUUAAAUCAAUACAAAGGCAAUUUUUAUAGCAUCGACUAGUCAUUCUUUAUCCACUAAAAGAUGUGACAUGAUAUAUAGGAGGAAUGGAACAGAAGAAAUUUAACCAAUCGAUUGAAUACCAUUGUAUAUGUAAUGUUUUCAACUUCAUGUAUAGUUAGUAAAAGUUGUGCCAAUACAAUGGACUACUAAUACUUUCACUCAUACACUACAAAAUUCCAAUUAUCUGCCUUGGGAUGAUUAAUACUAAAUGAGCUUCAUAUGAUAGUAUUUGCUCCUUCAAAUUCUUUUUUUUUUUUUUUCUAGAUAGGAGAACUUAAAAAACUGGUUGAAGAGGGUAAAAUCAAGUAUAUAGGUCUAUCUGAGGCCUCAGCUUCAACAAUCAAAAGAGCACAUGCUGUUCAUCCAAUAACGGCUGUACAGUUGGAGUGGUCAUUGUGGACAAGAGAUGUAGAGGAAGAGAUUAUUCCUACUUGCAGGUAGUUACAUAUUGUUCUGCUUCACUUUCAAUAUACAAUAGUAUGCAUUUGUAACUUCAUCUUCUGUUUUUUCAGAGAACUUGGCAUAGGAAUUGUAGCAUACAGUCCACUUGCACGAGGAUUCUUCUCAUCAGGUCCAACGCUGAUUGAGAAUUUUUCUGAAGGUGAUUUCCGUAAGGUUUGUCCAUGACCAUAAAGAUUAUGAGUAUCUUAGCUCCAAACACUAAUAUAAAGUUUGUCAUUAGAGAUUAUGAGCUAAAAUCCUUACGUUCAAAUCUCAUCAUUUAGAGUCUGUAUAUGCAGAAUUUGCCGAGGUUUCAAUCAGAGAAUAUGGAGCAUAACAAGAACAUGUACGAGCGUGUCAAUGUCAUUGCUUCAAAGAAGGGUUGUACCCCAUCACAGCUAGCAUUGGCCUGGGUGCAUCAUCAGGGAAACGAUGUUUGUCCCAUUCCUGGCACUACCAAGAUUGAAAACCUCAAUCAGAAUAUAGGAGCUUUGUCUUUAAAACUGUCUGCAGAUGAUAUGGCUGAACUGGAAAGCAUUGCUUCAGCUGGAAUCAAGGGUGACAGACUUCCCCCUGGCUUUGAUAGUUGGAAAACCUCCGAUACUCCACCUCUGUCAACGUGGAAGGCCACAUGAAUACUGCCUUUGUUAUGCUAAUAAUUCAUGUAGCUAUCUAUCUGAAUAAUGCAUUUUCACUGUUGUUGAGGGCUGAGCGAAUUGUAACUGUUCCAAUAAACUGCAACCUAAGUGACAGUGUUCUGUUGAGGGUUGAUUCAUUUUAGAGUUAUCUUAUACAAGGUAAAGAACUUAAUAUAGAGGUUGUAAUGGAUAGAAAUCUGGUAAUGUAAAAAAAUUGCUGGCUGGUCUUUUCGCAGGACAAGCCAACAGUAGUACUUCUGCAUCUGUUUGAAUAAGAUGUUUAUCUGGUGUAUUUCUGAAUAUCUAAAGGGUCCUGCUAUUUAGACCGUAUAACGGCAGAAAUGAUGCCUCAUACCUGCAACUUAAACCAAUAAACGGAACCUACGCUAUAGAUGGCUUCUUUAGAAGUUCAAAAGAACAAAAAAAGGUUCAUAAUUCUCAUUUUCUAUGCAUGUGUUCUUUUCAAAAAGAAAAAGUAACUGAAUUAUUAAAAAAAAAAAAAAGGACAACAAUGUAUUGACUGCAAUGAGCAGAAAUCAAUAGCUUUUUCUUCAACUGUAGUUGCAUGUUAAUUGGAUCUACAACAAAGCUGGUAAGCUAUUUAGUUUAGCUGCUAUAUAUAUAAAAGAAAUUAUUCAUUGUUUGUCAAACUAUUAAAAGCUCGUUUGGAUUAGUUGUUUUUGGGAGUGUUUUUGAAAAAUUUUAUUGUAGCAGAGUUUUUAGAGUAUAUUUUGGGAUAUUUUUAGAAUAUAUUUUGGGAUAUUUACAAGUAGAAGAGUUUCUAGAAUAUAUUUUGAAAUAUUUUUUAAAAUUUUAAAAAAAUUAAAACUAAGUUUUAAAUUACUUUUUAGAGUACUUUUUAAAAAUUUUUAUUGUAUUUGAAAAACUAAUUUUUGAAAAACACUCCUUUUCUAACAUUUGAUGUUGCAGUUGUCGUCAUUAUUUCAUUUUUCACUUUGAAUUUUUAUAUUUCGCAAGUUUGUCAUAAUUUCUUUAGGAGUAAUAGAGCUUACAAAAAAUUACUUUUGGAAAAUUAAGCACCCAAUAUAAUGUUAGAAAAGAAACAGGAAUUUGCUUACCUUUGGGCCUACAUCAUCCUUAUACGUAGACAUGCCCCUGGCUGCAGGGCUAUGUCAGCCUUCUUCGGGCCACCCAAGC
rnacentral:lncRNA from 1 species